rnacentral:rRNA from 1 species
AACGCGAAGAACCUUACCUGGGCUUGACAUCCUCGGAACCUCUGCGAAAGCAGGGGGUGCCCUCGGGAACCGAGAGACAGGUGGUGCACGGUUGUCGUCAGCUCGUGUCGUGAGAUGUUGGGUUAAGUCCCGCAACGAGCGCAACCCUCGUGGUCUGUUGAUACAGCGCGCAAGCGUAUGAUCCCUCAGGCCAGACUGCCGGUGACAAACCGGAGGAAGGUGGGGAUGACGUCAAAUCAUCACGCCCCUUAUGUCCAGGGCUACACACGUGUUACAAUGGGCAUGGUACAACGGGUUGCUUGGCAGCAAUGUCUGGCAAAUCCCUUAAAACCACCCUCAGUUCGGAUCGGAGUCUGCAACUCGACUCCGUGAAGUCGGAAUCGCUAGUAAACGCAGAUCAGCACGCUGCGUUGAAUACGUUCCCGGGCCUUGUA